CUAAGGUGAUAGCUGCAUGUCCAAGCCUAUUGCGUGGCAUGGAUUUUGCCUUCUACAGCCCACUAAAGGAGUUUGCAGUUCACCCGCAAACCUCAGCGAUCCAAGCUCCCCUGGAUGACCAUCACUCACCUAGAAAAGAACAAUAACAGGACCUGUUUUGCUAAUCCAGGACUGUUCUCCAGCACUAACUCUAAAUAAUCCCUUCUGUUAGAGUCCACUUUCUGGAACCUGUUGGAGAGGACAUCUUAUUCUUAUUGGAUCACGCACAGUGCCUGAAGCAUUCUGUUGCAUGUAGAAAUCAGUAAAUUGCAGAUGUAAGAUUCAAAACGAGACUUCACAUCUACCGACUUCAGUGAUCCUGAAAUUUGUCCACAGAGAGCAUUUAACAUAACUGUCUUCAUCAUCUCCUUCUCUAAUUAAAAACUAUGGAAAAUACAGGGAGGUGUGGUGUACCCAUUAUCACAAGCAGAUGGAAUCCCUAUAGAGUCAGAUCUCAUCUACAUAUCACCUAUUAUAUGUAGUUAUUGAUGGAUAAAUACUUCAACAACUAAAGGCAGAAAGAGAGCAGUUCACAAAGACAUUAUUGGUGAUUCAAUCUUGAGUCAUGAAAAGCCAACCUUGAGCCACAAAAAGUCAACCUUGAGCCAAGCAGAGUGGAGAGUCAUACUGGCCAUUCCUGGGACCAUCAAAAAUGGCAGAGGUCACACAAAAGGCAAAACCUUUAAGAGGUGUUUUAAACAUCGUAUGGGCCAAAGAGAAUCUGGAUUUCCUAUUGCAGUCAGCUGUAACACACGUGUGACAAAUUGGGCUGUGAGGACAAGGCAGUGAGUAGAGACGACAGCAGUCCUUAUGAGAUCAAGCUCUAAGUUUUGAGAAGAAUGCAAAGAAGAAGGGAAGAGUGAGCCUCUCUUUUCCC
rnacentral:lncRNA from 1 species